AACUGAUACUACCUGCGGGAACCUGCGGAAGGAUCAUUACAGGACUCGCAAGACUCCUACAACCCUGUGAACCUACUAUACGAACGUUGCUUCGGCGGGUGCGCCCCGGGGAUUCGUUCCCGCGGCGCGUCAGCCCGCCGGCAGCCUACAAAUUCUGUUUCUUUGCGUUGGCAUCUCGAGAAAAACAAAUAAGUUAAAACUUUCAACAAUGGAUCUCU
rnacentral:misc_RNA from 1 species